UGUAUCUGAAGCCUGACGAGGAUGAGAACCUCCGGGGGCAAGAGGUUCGACCCGAGCGAAGCGAGAGAACGUUGCGUCAGCAACGGCCCGCAGGGCGAGUCAUCCUCUAUCACCGGCAG
rnacentral:sRNA from 20 species